CAACACCAACUCCAUCAGAUACAUGAAGCUUGAGAGGUAUGAUUGUGUUUUUGGUCGAUAAGAUUCUGCACUUAGGCCCCAUCAUAAUUGUCAGCACCAGGCCCACUGGGCUCUUAAUCUGGCCCUGUGUGGAGGCCAAAAGAUAGACUGGGGUCUAACAACAUACCCAAGUAUUUGAAAGAGUGGACUGCAGUCAGUGUGCUAUAUCAAUUAGUUUUGAUGGACAGGUGGGAAUUGUGCAAUUUGUGUAAUGUAGGUACUGUUCCAAAGAUCAUUGUGACAGUUUUGUCAGUGUUUAGGAAGAGUUUGUUUUUUUCUAUCCACUUUUCUACUUCUGUAGCUGUGGUAGAUUGGAUUUGUUUGCAUAGAUUACUGUGUCGUCUGCGUACAUUUGAGGAUUUGCAGACAUUAGGCAGAUCAUUUAGAAAUAAUGUGAAUAGUAGGGGGCCGAGAAUGGAACCCUGGGGAACACCACAUGUGACUGGGAGAGGGAGGGAGUCUCUGCCAGAAAUGGAGACAUAUUGUGAGCGAUCCGAUACAUAUGACCGAAACCAGGUUAGCGGACAAUCACCAAUACCUGAGUUUUUGCGUUUGUGCAGUAGAAUGUUGUGGUCUACUGUGUCAAAGGCCUUUGGAAAAUAGCCCCAGUAAGGUUCCAUGCAGGUUGGAUGUCAUUGCAAACUUUUUAGAGGGUAGUUGUAGUGGAGUGAUUCGGGCGAAAACCCGAUUGAUCAGGGGUCAGAUAGUUUAGUUGUUUGUAAUACUCACAUAGUUGAGUAUGGACACAUUUUUCUAAUAUUUUUAACAAAACUGGGAGCAAUGAUAUUAUGCGAUAGUUA